UACGUAGGGGGCAAGCGUUGUCCGGAAUCAUUGGGCGUAAAGCGCGUGUAGGCGGCUUGGUAAGUCCGCUCUGAAAGCCCGGGGCUCAACCCCGGGAGGCGGGUGGAUACUGCUGAGCUCGAGUCCGGAAGAGGCGAGUGGAAUUCCUGGUGUAGCGGUGAAAUGCGCAGAUAUCAGGAGGAACACCGGUGGCGAGGGCGGUUCUCUGGGCCUGACCUGACGCUGAGGAGCGAAAGCGUGGGGAGCGAACAGG
rnacentral:rRNA from 1 species